ACGAACGCUGGCGGCAUGCUUAACACAUGCAAGUCGAACGCGAUCUGGGGUUUUGGCCUUGGGUUGAGUGGCGGACGGGUGAGUAACGCGUGGGAACCUGCCCUGUGGUUGGGGAUAACUGCGGGAAACUGCGGCUAAUACCUGAUGAGCCCUGGCUUUGGUUGGGGGAAAGAUUGAUCGCCAUGGGAGGGGCCCGCGUCGGAUUAGGUAGUUGGUGGGGUAACGGCCUACCAAGCCUGCGAUCCGUAGCUGGUCUGAGAGGAUGAUCAGCCACACUGGGACUGAGAUACGGCCCAGACUCCUACGGGAGGCAGCAGUGGGGAAUAUUGGACAAUGGGGGCAACCCUGAUCCAGCAAUGCCGCGUGAGUGAAGAAGGCCUUAGGGUUGUAAAGCUCUUUCGGCGGGGACGAUGGUGACGGUACCCGCAGAAGAAGCCCCGGCUAACUCCGU
rnacentral:rRNA from 1 species